AUUGAACGCUGGCGGCAGGCUUAACACAUGCAAGUCGAGCGGGGAAAGGUAGCUUGCUACCUGACCUAGCGGCGGACGGGUGAGUAAUGCUUAGGAAUCUGCCUAUUAGUGGGGGACAACAUCUCGAAAGGGAUGCUAAUACCGCAUACGUCCUACGGGAGAAAGCAGGGGACCUUCGGGCCUUGCGCUAAUAGAUGAGCCUAAGCCGGAUUAGCUAGUUGGUGGGGUAAAGGCCUACCAAGGCGACGAUCUGUAGCGGGUCUGAGAGGAUGAUCCGCCACACUGGGACUGAGACACGGCCCAGACGCCUACGGGAGGCAGCAGUGGGGAAUAUUGGACCAUGGGGGGAACCCUGAUCCAGCCAGGCCGCGUGUGUGAAGAAGGCCUUUUGGUUGUAAAGCACGUUAAGCGAGGAGGAGGCUACCGAGAUUAAUACUCUUGGAUAGUGGACGUUACUCGCAGAAUAAGCACCGGCUAACUCUGUG
rnacentral:rRNA from 1 species